rnacentral:rRNA from 1 species
AUAUUGCACAAUGGGCGCAAGCCUGAUGCAGCCAUGCCGCGUGUGUGAAGAAGGCCUUCGGGUUGUAAAGCACUUUCGGCGGGGAGGAAGGCGUUAAGGUUAAUAACCUUGGCGAUUGACGUUACCCGCAGAAGAAGCACCGGCUAACUCCGUGCCAGCAGCCGCGGUAAUACGGAGGGUGCAAGCGUUAAUCGGAAUUACUGGGCGUAAAGCGCACGCAGGCGGUCUGUCAAGUCGGAUGUGAAAUCCCCGGGCUCAACCUGGGAACUGCAUUCGAAACUGGCAGGCUAGAGUCUUGUAGAGGGGGGUAGAAUUCCAGGUGUAGCGGUGAAAUGCGUAGAGAUCUGGAGGAGUACCGGUGGCGACGGCGGCCCCCUGUACAAAGACUGACGCUCAGGUGCGAAAGCG